UAGGGAAUCUUCCGCAAUGGACGAAAGUCUGACGGAGCAACGCCGCGUGAGUGAUGAAGGUUUUCGGAUCGUAAAACUCUGUUAUUAGGGAAGAACAAAUGCGUAAGUAACUGUGCGCAUCUUGACGGUACCUAAUCAGAAAGCCACGGCUAACUACGUGCCAGCAGCCGCGGUAAUACGUAGGUGGCAAGCGUUAUCCGGAAUUAUUGGGCGUAAAGCGCGCGUAGGCGGUUUCUUAAGUCUGAUGUGGAAGCCCACGGCUCAACCGUGGAGGGUCAUUGGAAACUGGGAAACUUGAGUACAGAAGAGGAAAGUGGAAUUCCAUGUGUAGCGGUGAAAUGCGCAGAGAUAUGGAGGAACACCAGUGGCGAAGGCGACUUUCUGGUCUGUAACUGACGCUGAUGUGCGAAAGCGUGGGGAUCAAACA
rnacentral:rRNA from 1 species